rnacentral:rRNA from 1 species
UACCAGACUCCUACGGGAGGCAGCAGUGGGGGAUAUUGCACAAUGGGGGGAACCCUGAUGCAGCGACGCCGCGUGAGCGAUGAAGUAUUUCGGUAUGUAAAGCUCUAUCAGCAGGGAAGAAAAUGACGGUACCUGACUAAGAAGCCCCGGCUAACUACGUGCCAGCAGCCGCGGUAAUACGUAGGGGGCAAGCGUUAUCCGGAUUUACUGGGUGUAAAGGGAGCGUAGACGGCUGUGCAAGUCUGAAGUGAAAGCCCAAGGCUCAACCAUGGGACUGCUUUUGAAACUGGCAAACUAGAGUACGGGAGAGGUAAGAGGAAUUCCUAGUGUAGCGGUGAAAUGCGUAGAUAUUAGGAGGAACACCAGUGGCGAAGGCGUCUUACUGGACCGAAACUGACGUUGAGGCUCGAAAGCGUGGGGAGCAAACAGGAUUAGAUACCCCCGUAGG